GCUUUGGUAGCUUCACACUGAGAGGAAGCGAAGGGAUGAGAAAAGGACACUUGCUUGCUGGUCCAAAGAACUUUUAUUCCCCCAUGCAUGGCCAGAGGGAUGCUCUCUGGACUGCAUGCAGUGCAAAAUGUCGACGGGACAAAGGAAUGCAUUAGAUUAAGCAGGGGGUGGGGGGACAGGGAUGGAAACCUCCUUCGCCCAAUAGGGAUAAACAACAGGGGAGUGACAUGGAUUAUAACAACCUAUGGGAACAUAACAGAGACUUACCAGCUUUUUAGAUCAAAAGUCCUACAGAAUAAGGAAUCUGAAUGGAUGAUUUUAGAAAUUGGACUGCGGAAUAGAACUAAAAAAAAAACCUCAAACCACAAACCAAUGUCAGUAGCUCUUCUGAGACAUUAAGGUGCCUGUCUCUCACAAGGGAUCCUUCAUGUACAGUCAAGCUCACAAAUAGCUUCAUGGGAUAUGGUACAUUAAACUGAAAAA